AUGAGACUCAGCAAGCCAAGCAGUGAGACACAUCCCAGCCCUAACCAGCUCUCGGGUCUCCCAUCUCCCUGCCGGAUAUCUACUGGUCGCUUCUCCCCCCAAGCCCUUCAUCCGUUCCCUUUGUCUGCAGGCGGGCUGGUGGCUGUCCCCCCCCGCCCGGAACGUGCAGUCCCGAUCCGCGCCGCUGAGCGGCACCGUCCCUCCAGGCACACGGAGAGCAGCCACACGACUCCCCGCGGUCACCCCCCGGGCAGGUGGCCCCGCAGAACCACCUCACCCCAUAGGGGGGAUCAAAAGGUCCAGCCCUCAGCAUCAACGGUGUCUGCACCCCAGCACGGGCAAGGCUUGACUGGUAACCCGAAGCGCUGCUACAUCACCUGGGUUGCAUCAAGCAGAGCGAAGUGCUGGAGAGCUGCUCAUGAAUUGCAGCAUUUGGACUUGAAGCUUCUGCUCUGUGGGAAGACACCAGGCCAUCUGUGUGUGAAGCAUGAACAUUAUGGACAAAAGACCAUUAAGAGUGGGUACGGGCCCAAGUUAUGUCUACAAAAAUGGUGCAGAUACUUGAACAAUUGCUCUUCCCCUAAUCCAGAGUGAAAGAAUGAGUGCUCCUCGUGAUUUUACCAUCUCAUUAAUGUGUAUGUAUGCAUUCAUCGCCCUGGAGUAGACUUGUACUGAUGAGACUGGGCAGAAUGAGUAAGUGGCCAUCUUCACUUGUCCAUGCAGACAAAUCCUCCUCCAGCAUCCUUUCAUUCUCACGAGCGCCAAAUUUUCUUUAAGCCCUGCAAGCCACACUCAUGAAAGGUGGGCUGAAUGCACCCUAACCACGAGCAUCACCCUGUAAUCAGAACAGCAUGUGUCACUGUUUUUUCUCUUUCUCUGCUCUGCAGGUUUUGCAAUAGCAGUGUUUUGAGUAGAUCUUUGGAGCAUCAGACAAGUUGAUGGGAAGGACAUAAAUGGUGAAGAAAGUGUGGUUAAUCUCAUUGUUCUUUGGAUCUUUCUGUUCUUCCUUCCACUUCUCCUUCCAUCACUCAGAUGGGAAAAAUAUUAGUGAUCUGGAGGCAGCUGCAGCCACAGGAGUGCCUAUCUUCUAUUUCAUCCCUACAGAGUUCCCUAAUGAACCUUGGAUUUAUCAGAGCUCUUUGCUGCCUUUACUCCAUUAAAAAGCUGUCAUCUGCCAACAGAAUGAGAGAGAACCUGCACUUCAGACUUCUAAAGCAAACGACUAGCUGAUUCUGAUGGGCUAUAAGCACACAGAAGCAAAGUACUAGGAAGGCUGUGAGAGGUGGUGAGACACGAAACCAGCAGCCUGCCUUUGCUAGAGAGGAAGGUUGACACCCAUAGGGCUAGACAAGUCUUAUCCCAGUAAUCACAUACAGCCGUGUUUGCUCAACAUAGUGCAAUAAAAACAUGCAAAAGCAAGCCUUGGAGCCUGCCACAGAGAUAUCGAUGAGCAGACACUUGAAAAUGCUGGGUGCUUGUUAAUGUUUAACGAGCGAGUCCUCAUCUGACUUCAUGGCAUUGAGCUUUAUUUAUCUAAUCCAUAAAUUCACUAAGGAAAAAGAACGCUCCCUAUUAGCCUAUGAUAAAUAAAUAAAGGGGAAGACCUGGAAGAGUCUUACUGAAUUUAUUCUGUUUAAUAAUAAAGGGGCCUGUUCUACACAGCCUUCCAUUUAUGAGAUGAAGCAAUAUUUCACAGUGAUUUAAGCAAAUCCUCUUACUUUAAAUACGAUGGUGAAAGAGGUGAAUUUUUUCUGUCCUGGGGUUUGCAACUGGAUUUGAGAACUAACUUCACGGUACUGCUUCUGCCAGACUCAUUUAUGAUGGAAGCUGGGAACAAGUGGGAAGACAUCAUUUUGAGCCAGCGUGAGUUUAAUUUUAGACCAGGACUUACAGUUCAAAUGUAAGGCCAAAUCAUGCCUUAAUGGAAUAUUUGUAUGGGAAAUUUGUAGCUUUUCUAGCUACUUUUUAAUAACCAAGUACCUGUUCUAAUCAGUGGAAAAUACAGAUUUAUCCCUUCUCCUGAAAAUAAUUUCUGCAGAAUUCUAUUACUUUUUCUUCCAAUUUAGGCAGCAUGGCAUAUAUAUUGUCCAUGUGAGAUGACACUGUUAUCCCGACUGACCAAGGGGUUUCUUCCAAACCAAAUUAGAAAACAGAGUUUCAACCAAGUCUACUGGAGUCGGAUCCAAAAUACUGUAUCCAGGUCUGAAAUCUCCCAUGGGUUCAGAUUUUAGAAUCUGUUCGAAGUCUGACUUUUACAGCCCAGCUCAGCCAAGUUGAGUGUCAUAGCUGUUUGAAGCCAAGUUUCAUAAAACCCAUGUCAAAAGCUGGUGAGAAGGACACCAGCUUCCCACAAAUGGUCCUCUUUGGAAGUAGUCUGUGCUAUAAGAUGGUCCUCUGGAAGCAGGAUGAAUAAGCCUCAUCCCAGACAGUGGGAGGAUUCCCCAUUCCUGAUAUCUGCCUUAACAGGGGUUUAUAAAAGCCAUUGCACUUAAUGAAGAUGGGGCUGCUAUUUUUAGGCUACUGCUCUAAGAAUUUGACUGGGUUUGUUUAAUGCUGAACAGUCAUUUCCUUUAACAGUCUGUGCAUGGUUUUACAAUCUGACUGCCCAUCCGUACCUCAGCUAACAGUUCUGUUUUCGGGUUCAGACUUUCAUCUUUUCUAGUUGCCAUGGUGAUAGUGAUACAAACACCUCCAAAGGAUGAGCUACUUCCCUUGGAAGGGGAACGUCUUACUGUAUGCGCAGGGACUGUAGAAAUCUUUAAUGUAAUCCUGACCACAUGGUAAGCUAGUUUGGUGGGUUCUGAAGCAGAAAACGCCAUCUGGGGCCAAGGUCACAUCAACUCCAUCAAGGGAACAUUUUAUUUUAUUUUCUUCCAUUCUGAAGAUCACGUUUUGUCUCUCACUGAGGCCAAAUCAGCAGUAUUACUUAUGAAGAGUAUUUUGCAAUCUAAACAGCUAUUUAUAGAGUAAGUAAGUGGGAUAUUUGCUGCCAAAAUAAGUUUCUCCUCAGAUUCAGAUCUAAACCACAUUGACUAUAUGUUUUCAGAAAUGCUUUCCAGCCCUUUAUUCUCCUGCUCAUUCCGUUUUCCACACAGGAGGAUAAGCAAAACAUCUCAGCCCCUCUAGAGAGGACAGAUAGCUGUCAGCACAGAUUGUGAAUGCAGUUCCACACCUGAUGUGAAACUAAGGGAGACUGUGUUCAUUUGUUCAAAGUGUAUGUAGAUGAUUGCCAGAGCCCAAAGAGAGCCCUGUUGUGGCUGAAUGCUACCUGACCCAUGCUCAGACUGCUUGAACUCUUUAACAGCAGGUAAACACAUAAAAUAAAACGCUGGUCUCCAAAGCAGCUAUAAAAUGAUGAAAAAAGAUCUUGCCAUGUCCCUGGAUGAGAAUAGCAUGCCAGUAUGCUGGAUCACAUGGAGCAACCUUCUCACCCAUGGAGUAUGCAGAGUUAAAAAAUCUCAAACUCUGCUUAGGUGUGGGGUUCUUCUGCUGCAUUUGUAUUAUUUUCCUCUGGAAGGGAAUAGUUAGACUAUAGGUGUACCUGGAAAAAAAUAUGUUUCCUGGAAAUAAAUAUUCAGGAUGGAGUCAAAAGAAAAAUCCUUGCAAUAUGAGUCAGGCAGCCUUCUCCAUUGUAAUUUAGAGUCAAACCAAGGAUGCCAUGACUUAUUCAGCAUCAAAGUGCUAAAGCUGUGUGCUUUCAAAUGCCUCCAGCUGCAGCCUCACCUCCUCCCAUUGGGUCCCUGCCCUAUAUUCUAGCACUGCAACUGGUGAUGGAAGAGUCUGAAGGCAAACAGAAGGAGCACUGUUAUUAGCAUUCAGAAAAUGUAAGAAUAAACUUUGCUCCCUGAGGGAAUGGCUUGAGUGACACAAUGGAAAAAAGCCUGGAGGCAUGUCUUCUUGUACCCUCUGUCUCCACUGCCAGUGUUAAGGCCCUCAUGCUUCCUGUAUUGGGGAACUAAGCCCUCUCUGCACAUUGCACAUAAAGGGCAUGUCUUGGUAAGAUACUCCUGAACAGAUCUUUCUUAACCAUGAAUAUGUACCAAGUCCAUCUGGUGCUGUUCAGUUACAUGGAAUUAAGCUCACCCUGUGCCCAGUUAUGCAGCAGAUAUUCUCAAUUACAUUUGUAGUUCUGAAAUUUAUAAUUCUAAACAGACAAAAAAAAUCUAAUAAGUGAAAUAUUUAUUUGAUGUGAGCUUCAAGAAACAACAAAAAAAAACACUUUGAAACAACAUUUUUGGAUAUAUACACGAAGAAAUGUAGACUGCAUAUUGCUACUAUAUUUACGAUCUGUAUUAAUUCAGGACAAACAUGUAAGACACGAAUGAAAAGGAAAGGUAUAAGCCUAUGAUAAGCAGAAUGACUGCAAAUGCUACUCAAAGGUUUAGAGUAUUUUGAAAGUAACUCUAAAGGUAGCCACAGGAAGAUUUCAGGUUAGCACUGAAG
rnacentral:lncRNA from 1 species